AAUCAACGCUGGCGGCGUGCCUAACACAUGCAAGUCGAGCGAGAAAGUGGAGCAAUCCAUGAGUAAAGCGGCGACCGGGUGAGUAACACGUGACUAACCUACCUUCGAGUGGGGAAUAACUCCGGGGAAACCGGGGCUAAUACCGCAUAACAUCGAAAGAUCAAAGCAGCAAUGCGCUUGAAGAGGGGGUCGCGGCUGAUUAGCUAGUUGGCGGGGUAACGGCCCACCAAGGCGAAGAUCGGUAUCCGGCCUGAGAGGGCGCACGGACACACUGGAACUGAAACACGGUCCAGACUCCUACGGGAGGCAGCAGUGGGGAAUUUUGCGCAAUGGGGGAAACCCUGACGCAGCAACGCCGCGUGGAGGAUGAAGUCCCUUGGGACGUAAACUCCUUUCGACCGGGACGAUUAUGACGGUACCGGU
rnacentral:rRNA from 1 species